GACAGACUCACGCAGAACUGGUUGUCUUGGCUCUGAGAAUACCUAUCACAGGGUGGGUCUGUGGAAACCACAGCACCUCCCUCUGGUCAACAGAGUCACAGAGAGCAAGCCUGUGACCGUGAGGAUGAGGACCUCAAUCAACAGGGAGUUGCACAGGCUGGGAAUCUGGAGGAAGACCACGGAGCAGGAAGACACAGGAAAACACUUACCCAUAUGUGGCUUGGAAGCCUGCCCCCACUAGUAUCACACUGGAAAAGCUGGCAGCCCACACACAUUAUCCACUGAAGUUGGCCUUCCGGGUAGACUCCUGGUUUCUGAGGGCGACUUCAACAUAAGCCUUCAGCAGAGAAAUUCCAUCUGGAUGUCAUAACAGCAGAUCUGAGUUAUAUGAGUCAAUAAUCAAGAACCUUCCUUCUAAAUCGUCACACAACAUUGCACUGGACUUGGUUUUAUGUCUGUCCUGGCCUUCUUAACCAGGACAAGAGCAAGACCACACGGCACCCUCCUGUGUGCUCUAGGCCUAAAAACCAGUGUGAGCCCAGAAAAUGUGCACAGACAGGCAGAAGGAGUGAAUGAAUGACCUUUGUAUCCUCCCCUGAGAACAAGAUUUUAGAGACAUUUAAGAAAGGCAGGACAUUUCCAGCCUCUGGUCCAGCAGGAAAAGAUGUUGGACAUCCUCACUCCCAUGCACUCAGAUAAAAACCUAUACAAACUAGAAAUCAGCAACUCCUGGGUCCCUCAGAGAAGUGAGGUCACAGGCAAAUUGCUGCUUUCAAAAGUGGAGAGACAGACAGGCAGACACACAGCGUCACAGCCUGUGGGAGCACGAACCCAUGAGCAGAAGUGGAGACUGGAACCAGCGCAGGGUAGGAAGACUUAAUCCUCCUUGAUAAGCUGCCAGAGAUUCAAUGUGGACAAGCCUUAGAGAUCAGUCUCAGGGGGGCUUAUUCCUAGGGGUCCCCAAACUCAUGAGAGAAAAAUAAGAUUAGAGAAAAACCCCUGGGACUCCCAGCAGGGGGAGGGAAAAAGGAACCAUCUUAAAAUAUGCCCAAAAUACUCUGUCAUGAAAAGGCCAGACCUCAAACAAAACUAUUUUAUCAGCGCCUAGCCCGCUGGGAUUUUAUCAGAGCCUAACCACCACCCCCACCCCCACCCCAGGGGAAGGGGGCCAUUCUAUCUCACCCAAGGGGAAAAACAAAACAAAACAGAGAAGUGUUUGGGAGAGCCAAGAGCCCAGGGCCAGGCUUGCUGCAGAGGGCAGAAGGGGAGUCAAGCCGGUUGUGAAGGAUGCUUUGAUGACGAGAAGCACAGGAGCGGGAUGCAGAGGACCCUGAAUGUGAGCUUCCCUUCCACAGAGCUGUGUGUGCUGUGAUGUUCCCCAACCCUCUUGUGAACAAGCUCGUGCCGCCGGUGCUGCCUUUUUCUGACCCAGUGCCUCUGCUGACAUAAGAGGGAAGAGGACACCAUCCAACAAGAAGGCAGCACAAACCCCUCCUGGCCAACCGUGGGAGCUAUUGCUCGCUGCACCCCAGGCCAGCCAAGCUGCCACGCGGCCUUCCCACUAGGCCUACGGGAACUGCCCCAAAGUCAACACACAGAGAACAGAGCUUCCAUCACUCCACAGUCAGCCCAAAUGUAAGCUAGACUCUGCCACUCAUCAAACAAUAGGAAACCCAGUUUUGUCUCAUGAUUACCGACUUCCAUGGGCUUAAGAAUCAUCCGAAAUCUUGUGACAUGAGAGCCAAGAAAACCUCAACGGAGGGAACUGGAGACUUGUGCAGAGUACACCGCACCUUGAGUUUCUUUCUCAGGGCUGCUUUUGAUAUCCCGUUGGAUGAGGGGACGUGUUCGGCGUUGGGAGUAGGCUGCUAGCAGAAUGAUUCAGUAUGUGACGGUUUAACAGUAACAACACCCAAUGUCCAGUAAUAACAUCGGGAUCUCCAAGCAUCUGACAGCUGAGUCACAGAAAUUUUAAUAUUUCCUUCACACUAACAUCUUCUGCUUGCAAGGGUUGCCAUAGGAUGGGGGCUCUCACAUCCAAUAUGCAAUCGAAAAGCGCAGAAGCUUCCUGUUUUUAUACAAUGUGAUUCACUGAGCAUUCCAAGUUCAUUGCUGGCCAGAUUACAACCAGCAACGGUGCCAUCAGGAUGAGGCACAGGUGCACUUGGGACUCUCAGGUCACUCUACAGUCAGCCCAGAUGCAAACUGUUUACCUGCCCCAGGUUACGACUCCCCUGUAAACCCUGCACCUUCUCAGUUGACCUCUGAGCACCACCAGGUAAGCCUGGACCUGGGAUUCCAGCUUCAUUGAGAUGGAGAACAGUUUCGAAAAACUUCUCAGAAUGGAGUUAUGAGUGAUAUGGGGGUUAGGAAAUAGGAAAAGUUAUUCUGACGAUGCCUUGCAGGUUGGCUGAAUGAGAGAGUAAAGGGAAACUGAGGCCAUUAUGGAUGAAAGUUGUUUUCCAUUGCACCUUUGUCAGGGCAAAAAUGAGACUUUGCAUCUUUGCAAUGUCAUGCUGCUCCCAGAACACCUUCUUGCCCUUUGGAGAACCUCCGUGAAUAUUCAUUCUGUUGAAGAGAAACCGCCUGGAGAGAAGGUCCCACCUGGUAAAAGCCACAGGCACUCUGGAGCGUGCACACCACCUGCAGGUCACUGUCACUGCCUCCACGUCCAAAAAGGUAAUUUAAUGCAACCUUUUAACCGACCUCUCUACUUUGGGACUGAGGUCUUUCUCAGUGAGGUGAGGUGAUCUUGGUGUAACAGCUAGAAAGAAUUGGCCUCCUUUGGUCAGCCAUGCAGACAACGCAUCAGAUACAGAACCUAUCGCAGUGCCAGGAGUCAUGGAAGCAAAUCCAAGCUCAUUGGUCUGACUCUGCCGGGUUUGAGGGCCCAGGACCACAGCCUCUCUGCUGCUGUUGACUUUGAUGGGGGCCACAGCGAAUUGCAGCAUCUGUAUUGGGUCUGAUUAAAUGCAUCCACAGCACCUAACAUCUUGGUUCUGGAAUCCCAAUUUCCGGGCCAGUUGCUAAACCUAACAGUGCAACGGUUUCAGUGCCUAACAGGUAAGCAGGCCACGGUGGCUUUUCAGUCCUUGCUGUCUGCAACACCAGCUGUGCAGCACAGCAAGCCAGAGGCCAGGCUGGAUCCUUCCCCAUGGGCUCCAGGGCAUUGGAACUCCUUGGAACCAGAGACUUAUAACACGCAUGUGUGUGAACAGAUUCUUAGGGGAGAAAGCCCUCACUUUCCUCGAAAUUCAAAGUUGUCCACACCCCCAAAAAGUGCAGCCUGGCUCUGGGCUUCUCUGCCCUGCAGCCAAGGUUUGUUGUCUGUUUGUUUUUGUGUAGAUCUGAUAAUGACACUCCCUCCCGUUGACUGAAAGACUUCCCAGACCCUUGGUUUUCCCCCAGUACACCUACCAGCCUUGCAUCUGCCACUCCCCAAACGCUCCCACUGCCCGAGAACAGCUGGCGUUUUUGUGUCUGCUCCAUUGCACAGUCUCUUUUCUUUGCCUGAAUUGUCUCCGCUGGCUGGCCAGUAUGGCAAGUCCUGCUCUCAACCAAUGGCUCACCUAACAGGGAAGCUCACUGUGAGUCUUCCCAUCUUCUUCAGGGCUUGCAUACUCUCUAAUUGCCAAUUUUAUUUUACCAUCAAUUAUAUGGCUAUAAUGUCUUGAUUACACUCAGUGUUAGUCUGGGUGCUCCAGAGAAGCACAUAGAUACACUCUCUCUACACACACACACACAUACACACACACACGCAUGCACACACAUGGACAUAGAGCUGGGAAUUGGCUCACAAAUUACAGACCCGAAAGGGCUGUCAUCACGCUGGAAGCUCGGUAAGAGCUGACGCUGCAGUAUCAAGUCUCAACUCCACCCGCUGGCAGGCAGGGGAGCCAGGCGGGCUUCCUGUGCUGCAGUCUUGACGUGGAAUUUCUUCUUCUCAAGGAAACCUCAGUCUUCCCUCUUAAGACCUUCAACUGGUUGGAUGAGACCCACCUACAUGAUGGAGACAAUCUGCUUUACCUCCAGUCAAUUGAGGUAAAUGAGAAUCACAUCUACAAAGACCUUCCAUAGCAACCUCCAGUCUGGUGUUUGACCAAGCAACUGAGAACCACAGCCAAGCCAAGUCGACAUACAAAACUAGACAUCACACUCUCCUUCCCCAUGAAGACCAAGAGCACCACAAUGCCCUGAGUAGGCACUGAGCACUGUGCCUCCGUAACAUGUAACAUACUUUCCAGCGCACAAUCAAUGUCUGUUAUGUGAAUUAUUGAAAGUGACAGAUUCAGGCACUGACUAACUCCAUCACUAAUAUUUUAAAAGUACAAACAAGAGUUUUCCCAGUUUGUUAGCAUGUGUGUGUGUGUGUGCAUGUGUGUACCUAAUUUAUCAGUUUCCUAAAGCCCUUUUGAAACUUCUGUGCAUUGGGACCUUAUACUCCACAAUGGCCAACGACAAAUGCUUCCAAGUCCCCUUCCUCUAAGUCUCUGAAGUCACGAAGCUGUGCACAAUGUCACUAUUUAGAGAGCGACAAAGUGCAACUAAAAGCAAUUAAGUGAUUUGGGGAAAACUGUAGAGUGUAUCAACAGCAAAUAUGAGGGCAGUGACCACGGGCCCCCAAAGCAGCUGUCAGCAAACCAGGCUGCUCUUUGGCCGUGAUUUAAAGCCCCUGUUUAGACUGCUAUCCACAUCCAUCUCAGGAAAUAAAUGGCCACAGUGCAGACUCCAAUAUCUAAUCCAGAUGGAAGUGUUCAUCCUCCUUCAGAAAGUUUAAAUCACCUCACAACGUGAGGUUUAACGUUCUUAUCAACGUCAGGAAAUAUCUCCAACAAGGCUGUACGAUGGAUGAAUGUGGAAGACUGUAACCAAAAACAAACAAACAUAUGAACAAAUAAAACCAAUUAUGUCUAUCAAUAUACCAUAAUAACCAACACACAUAGUUAUACAAAGAGACUUUGCUUGGCCCCUCAAAAAUCAAAAUGUCUCGUAAUUAUUUUAUGUUGGCGUUUUGUGUCUCAUAUCAUCCACACAAGCUAGUUCAAUUCGUAGUUUUGAUACCUCACUUUGUGA
rnacentral:lncRNA from 10 species